CGCGGUAAUACGUAGAAGACUAGUGUUAUUCAUCUUUAAUAGGUUUAAAGGGUACCUAGACGGUAAAUCAAGCCCUUGCAUGGCAUGACGGGACUMAUUUGCUAGAGUUACUUACGCGGGGGUUUUAAAGUACUAAUGGUGUAGAGAUAAAAUUUUGUGAUACCAUUUUUCGAAAGAAAAGUUAUGGCACUGGUAAAGGCGAAAGCAUCUCCUUAUGUGAUAACUGACGUUGAAGGACGAAGGCUUUGGAUCGCGAAUAGGAUUAGAUACCCUAGUAGUCGAAGCAGAAAAUGAUGAGUGUCAUAGAUUAGAGUAAUAUUUAUUCUAUAAAUGAAAGUGUAAGCACUCCACCUCAAGAGUAAUUUGGCAACAUUGGAACUGAAAUCAUUAGACCGUUUCUGAAACCAGUGGUGAAGUAUGUUGUUUAAUUUGAUAAUCCGCAAAAAACCUUACCACAGCUUGAAUGUUUACACCUUUGAUGUAAACACAAGCGUUGCACGGCUGUCUUCAGUUAAUGUCGUGAGACUUUGGUUAGAUCCAUUAAAUUAACGCAAGCCCUUACUUUAUUUUUAAAUAGAGUUGUUCCCCACUAGAUUGGAUAUGAUAACAGGGACUAAGACAAGUCAUCAUGGCCUGAAUGCUGUGGGCUAUAGACGUGCCACA
rnacentral:rRNA from 1 species